rnacentral:rRNA from 1 species
UGGGGAAUAUUGGACAAUGGGGGCAACCCUGAUCCAGCCAUGCCGCGUGUGUGAAGAAGGCCAUAUGGUUGUAAAGCAAUUUAAGCAGUGAAGAAGACUCCAUGGUUAAUACCCAUGGACGAUGACAUUAGCUGCAGAAUAAGCACCGGCUAACUCUGUGCCAGCAGCCGCGGUAAUACAGAGGGUGCAAGCGUUAAUCGGAAUUACUGGGCGUAAAGCGAGCGUAGGUGGCUUGAUAAGUCAGAUGUGAAAGCCCCGGGCUUAACCUGGGAACGGCAUCUUAUACUGUUAGGCUAGAGUAGGUGAGAGGAAGGUAGAAUUCCAGGUGUAGCGGUGAAAUGCGUAGAGAUCUGGAGGAAUACCGAUGGCGAAGGCAGCCUUCUGGCAUCAUACUGACACUGAGGUUCGAAAGCGUGGGUAGCAAACA